rnacentral:tRNA from 1 species
GCGGAUGUGGUGGAAUUGGCAGACACGCUGGAUUUAGGUUCCAGUGCUUCACGGCAUGCAGGUUCAAGUCCUGUCAUCCGCACCA